rnacentral:rRNA from 1 species
CGGCGCACGGGUGAGUAACACGUGGGUAAUCUGCCCUGGAGUGGGGAAUAACACCGGGAAACCGGUGCUAAUACCGCAUACGAUCACGGAGUCUUAGGAUUCUGUGCUGAAAGGAGCAAUUCGCUCUAGGAGGAGCCCGCGGCUGAUUAGCUAGUUGGUGAGGUAACGGCUCACCAAGGCUUCGAUCAGUAUCCGGUCUGAGAGGACGGUCGGACACACUGGAACUGAGACACGGUCCAGACUCCUACGGGAGGCAGCAGUGGGGAAUUUUUCGCAAUGGGGGCAACCCUGACGAAGCAACGCCGCGUGGGUGAUGAAGUCUCUUGGGACGUAAAACCCUUUCGACGGGGAAGAAACCGCAAGGUUGACGGUACCCGUAGAAGAAGCCCCGGCCAACUCCGUGCCAGCAGCCGCGGUAAUACGGGGGGGGCAAGCGUUGUUCGGAAUUACUGGGCGUAAAGGGUGCGUAGGCGGUCCGCUAAGUUGGAUGUGAAAACUCUGGGCUUAACCCAGAGCCUGCAUUCAAAACUGACGGGCUAGAGUUCUGGAGGGGGUAGCGGAAUUCCUGGUGUAGCGGUGAAAUGCGUAGAUAUCAGGAGGAACACCGGUGGCGAAGGCGGCUACCUGGACAGAAACUGACGCUGAGGCACGAAAGCUAAGGGAGCAAACAGGAUUAGAUACCCUGGUAGUCCUAGCCCUAAACGAUGGAUACUUGGUGUGUCCGGGAUUGAAUCCGGGCGUGCCGAAGCUAACGCAUUAAGUAUCCCGCCUGGGGAGUACGGUCGCAAGGCUGAAACUCA